rnacentral:rRNA from 1 species
GAUGAACGCUAGCGGGAGGCCUAACACACGCAAGCCGAGCGGUAUUGUUUCUUCGGAAAUGAGAGAGCGGCGUACGGGUGCGUAACACGUGUGCAACCUGCCUUUAUCUGGGGGAUAGCCUUUCGAAAGGACGAUUAAUACUCCAUAAUAUAUUGAACGGCAUCGUUUAAUAUUGAAAGCUCCGGCGGAUAGAGAUGGGCACGCGCAGGAUUAGAUAGUUGGGGAGGUAACGGUUAACCAAGGCGAUGAUCUUUAGGGGGCUUGCGAGGGUAAUCCCCCACACUGGUACUGAGACACGGACCAGACUCCUACGGGAGGCAGCAGUGAGGAAUAUUGGUCAAUGGGUGCAAGCCUGAACCAGCCAUCCCGCGUGAAGGACGACUGCCCUAUGGGUUGUAAACUUCUUUUGUAUAGGGAUAAACCUACCCUCGAGAGGGUAGCUGAAGGUACUAUACGAAUAAGCACCGGCUAACUCCGUGCCAGCCGCCGCGGUAAAAC